rfam:Salmo salar isolate Sally breed double haploid chromosome ssa02, whole genome shotgun sequence.
UGCACUCACUACUGUAAGUCACUCUGGAUAAGAGCGUCCGCUAAAUGACUAAAA